rnacentral:lncRNA from 1 species
UACAAGUAUCUUAAAAUAUUAUUUGGACACAAAUGCCCUUCAAACAGAUCGUAAGUAUUUUUCUUUGCUCUUCAUUCAUUUUCACGAAGUUGUAUCUAUAUUAAUAAGGAAAAAUUUAUCUGUAUGUAUGUUUUAAUUUAUAAAAAACAGUCACCGGGAUUUCAGGGGGAGCGUGGUGAUGUUAUUGUAUCUAUCGUUUGUAGGGAUUUAUUAUUUAUCUGGUUGAUAUUGUGUGUGUAUAUUAAAUUUUUUAGGUAUGUAACGAUUUGUUAGUCGGAUCUUACUUGUAGCUGCCCUGCUAAGAAUACAACUUGUAAGAGGUGCACUAAACUAGGAAAUUUUGCCCUUAUGUGCAAAUUUGGAAUUCAAAUUCGCAACAUUGGGAUGCUGAAAUGAAUUUUCUAAAGGAUGUGGACGUGGCGUCCACAUCCUUUAGAAAAUUGGAAAAAUCAAUGGUCAAGAUUUUUGUGAAGGGUAUCGGGUUAAAUGAUCUUAUAGACUUUGGAAGCUUCGACAGUUUUAUAAGUCUCAGUAAAGUCAGAGAGAUAAAUCUAAGAAUGAAAAAGUCAGACAAAUUAAUUGGGAUGCUUCUAAUGUUUUCAAAAUAAUACUUUGGGUCUGGUUCAUGUUCAGGUCGCACAUAAAGCAGAGUUCUAUGUGCAUGUCAGGUUAAUUGUUCUUUCAGAAUUAUUAUGAAAUUUUAUAGGCCUUCAUUCAGGAUUGCACAUGACUCUGGGAGGAAAGAUUUUUUUCUUUUUCAGUUAGCUUAGAUAUGUAUCAACCUGCAUUGUUCCGAAACCUUCUACCAGAUAUUAAACCUAUGAUAACAAAGUCACAAAACAUUCAGAAGAGGAUAGAGAGUUUAUUCAUCAAGAAGUGAAGAGAUUAAUGGACCAGGAAAUUAUCGAUCCCAGUACGUCACCAUGGAGAGCUCAAGUGCUGAUUAGUGAAAAUGAAAGGAAAAAGGAAGGAAUGGUACUGUGGUAAGUGGCUGUCAACAAAAAAUUUCACAAAGGUGGAUCUUAAAAGUGCUUAUCACCAGGUCGGAAUUGAAGAGAGUGAAAGAGCUUUUGGAGCCUGUGGUCGAUUAUAUCAAUUUUGAUGUAUACCAUUAUAUGUGAUAGAUUUCAUUAUAGCCGAAGAGAAUCUGGUAAAUACUAAAGCACUAUACUUUGAUGACAUUACCAUCUGUGGAGAAGAUCAAAAUGAGCAGGAUAAAAUCUAAAAUCUUUUAUGAGAGCUUUAGAUAAGCAUUGGUUGACAAUGAAUGAGAAUAAAUGCAAAUAUUCAACAGCAAGAAUAAAACUUUUGGUGAGUCAGAUUGAAAAUGGUAUGAUGAAACCGGAUCCAGAUAGACUGAAGUCACUCAUGAGAAUUCAUAAACAGAGGAAUGAGAAAGAGUUACGACGUAUCUUGGUGAUGUUUCCGCAUUACUUGAUACCCUCUUUCUCAAAAAAGUUACACUCUAUGGUACACCCUCAAGAUUACACUUGGAAUACAGAAGCAAAAGAGGUUUGUGCAAAAAUGAAGAAGAACAUUGAAAAUGCAGUAGUCACCAUUGUUAUUGAUCCUUUGGAAAGAUUAACAGUAGAUACGGAUGCUUCUUGAGUAAAUGUGGACAACUGGUUGCUUUCUUUUCGAAAUCGUUGAAUAAGUCUGAGUGGUAUCAUUCUGCAGUAGAAAAGGAAGCUUAUGAAAUUGUAGAAGAUUUAUGAACUUGGAGAUACUUUUUGAUAGGAAAAUAAUUCUUACAUAUCAGAAAUACCUUACCUUUAAAUGACAAAAAUAAAUAUAUUCUUACAUUAGUAGAUGAAUAUUCCAGAUUUCCAUUUGCUUAUCCACAUGGAUAAGCAAAUACUCACCUCUAAAUCAGUAAUUAGAUGUAUUCAGGAUUUUGGUUUGCCAGAAUAUAUUCACUCGGACCGAGGAUCUUCUUUUAUGUCGAAAGAAUUGAAAACUUAUCUAACUGUAAAAGGAGUCGCUACAAGUCGUACUACGCCUUACAAUCCUCAAGGAACGGACAGGUAGAACAAAGUAGAACAUUAGCUCUCAAGUCUGGGGAGCAGCCUAUAGAAAAAAGUAUUUAUGUAUGUAACGACUAGUAUGAGCCUGUCCGUUCUGCGGACGCUUGGGGGAUGAUAAUGAAAGUGUGAUGGGAUGUUUGUUUCGAAAUAUAUCGAUAUUUGUACCCUCAUCCAAUAUAGAAAGAUGAUGUUGUCUUAAGUAAUCAAGAAGAAAUAAAACCAAAGUAAUAUGUCAAUUGCGUUAUAAGCAAUCCAAAACAAAUUAACUGGUUAAUACAAUCUCCCCUUCAUAUUACUACCUGAAAAGUUAUUGAACAGAGUGUAGAACAAAAAAAUAUUGCUUGACAGAAAAUGCGGAGGAUGAGGAAGAUUCAAAAGUUUAUUCUUGUACAUAUAAGAUUUGUUAGUUGGAUGCUACUUGUAGUUGAAUUAAAUUAAAUAAAGCCAUAUUCGACGUUUA